rnacentral:rRNA from 1 species
UUACUGGCGUAAAGACGCAUGCAGGUGGUUUGUUAAGUUCAGAUGUGAAAGACCGGGGCCGUCAACCUACCGGAAUAGCAUUUGAAACUAGGCAGACUAGAGUACUGUAGAGGGGGGUAGGGAAUUUCUAGGUGUAGCGGUGAAAUAGCGUAGAGAUCUGAAGGAAUACCGGUGGCGAAGGCGGCCCCUCGGACAGAUACUGACACUCAGAUGCGAAAGCGUGGGGAGCAAACAGGAUUAGAUACCCUGGUAG